rnacentral:tRNA from 2 species
GCCCCUGUAGCUCAGAGGAUAGAGCGACGGUCUUCUAAACCGCAGGUCAGAGGUUCGAAUCCUCUCAGGGGCA